AUUGAACGCUGGCGGCAGGCCUAACACAUGCAAGUCGAGCGGGGUUUUCGGACCUAGCGGCGGACGGGUGAGUAAUGCGUAGGAAGCUGCCCGAUAGAGGGGGAUACCAGUUGGAAACGACUGUUAAUACCGCAUAAUGUCUACGGACCAAAGUGUGGGACCUUCGGGCCACAUGCUAUCGGAUGCGCCUACGUGGGAUUAGCUAGUUGGUGAGGUAAUGGCUCACCAAGGCGACGAUCUCUAGCUGGUUUGAGAGGAUGAUCAGCCACACUGGAACUGGGACACGGUCCAGACGCGUACGGGAGACAGCAGUGGGGAAUAUUGGACAAUGGGCGCAAGCCUGAUCCAGCCAUGCCGCGUGUGUGAAGAAGGCCUUCGGGUUGUAAAGCACUUUCAGCGAGGAGGAAGGGUGGUGUGUUAAUAGCACAUCAUUUUGACGUUACUCGCAGAAGAAGCACCGGCUAACUCUGUGCCAGCCGCCGCAGUAA
rnacentral:rRNA from 1 species